rnacentral:rRNA from 1 species
UUAUAAGAGACAGCAGCCGCCACGGUAAUACGAGGGGAGCUAGCGUUAUUCGGAAUUACUGGGCGUAAAGCGCACGUAGGCGGCUUUGUAAGUUAGAGGUGAAAGCCCAGAGCUCAACUCUGGAAUUGCCUUUAAGACUGCAUCGCUUGAAUCCAGGAGAGGUGAGUGGAAUUCCGAGUGUAGAGGUGAAAUUCGUAGAUAUUCGGAAGAACACCAGUGGCGAAGGCGGCUCACUGGACUGGUAUUGACGCUGAGGUGCGAAAGCGUGAGGAGCAAACAGGAUUAGAUACCCCUGUAGUCCCUGUCUCUUAUAC